rnacentral:rRNA from 1 species
CAUCAUGCCCCUUAUGACCUGGGCUACACACGUGCUACAAUGGAUGGUACAACGAGUUGCGAGACCGCGAGGUUUAGCUAAUCUCUUAAAACCAUUCUCAGUUCGGAUUGUAGGCUGCAACUCGCCUACAUGAAGCCGGAAUCGCUAGUAAUCGCGGAUCAGCAUGCCGCGGUGAAUACGUUC